CUUGUGGACUGUCAUAUCAAAUGAGAGUAGACUUUACAUUUCAAAGUGUGAAAAUGAAAUCAGACAGGUAGAAGCAAGAA
rnacentral:sRNA from 12 species